rnacentral:rRNA from 1 species
UUGGAAACUGAUUUAUUUGAGUGCGAUAGAGGCAAGUGGAACUCCAUGUGUAGCGGUGAAAAGCGUAGAUAUGUGGAAGAACACCAGUGGCGAAAGCGGCUUGCUAGAUCGUAACUGACGUUGAGGCUCGAAAGUAUGGGUAGCAAACGGGAUUAGAUACCCCGGUAGUCCAUACCGUAAACGAUGGGUGCUAGUUGUUAAGAGGUUUCCGCCUCCUAGUGACGUAGCAAACGCAUUAAGCACCCCGCCUGAGGAGUACGGCCGCAAGGCUAAAACUUAAAGGAAUUGACGGGGACCCGCACAAGCGG